GACGAACGCUGGCGGCGUGCCUAACACAUGCAAGUAGGACGCAGUUGCGAACGGGUGAGUAACGCGUAGGUAACUACCAAUUCGAGGGGGAUAACUAUCGGAAACGAUAGCUAAUACCGCAUACUACUAGAUGGACCUGCGUUGUAUUAGCUAGUAGGUAGGGUAAGGGCCUACCAAGGCAAUGAUACAUAGCCGACCUGAGAGGGGGAACGGCCACACUGGGAAUAAGGAACGGCCCAGAAUCCCUCGGGAGGCAGGAGUAAGGAAUCUUCCGGAAUGGGGGGAACGCUGACCAAGCAAAGCCGCGUGAGUGAAUAAGGUUUUCGGAUUGUAAAGCUCUGUUGAUAAGGAAGCGGUACUUAACCAGAAAGGGACGGCUAACUACGUGCCAGCAGCCGCGGUAAUAC
rnacentral:rRNA from 1 species